UUGACCUCAAAUCAGGUAGGAUUACCCGCUGAACUUAAGCAUAUCAAUAAGCGGAGGAAAAGAAACCAACUGGGAUUACCUUAGUAACGGCGAGUGAAGCGGUAAAAGCUCAAAUUUGAAAUCUGGUACUUUCAGUGCCCGAGUUGUAAUUUGUAGAAUUUGUCUUUGAUUAGGUCCUUGUCUAUGUUCCUUGGAACAGGACGUCAUAGAGGGUGAGAAUCCCGUUUGGCGAGGAUACCUUUUCUCUGUAAGACUUUUUCGAAGAGUCGAGUUGUUUGGGAAUGCAGCUCAAAGUGGGUGGUAAAUUCCAUCUAAAGCUAAAUAUUGGCGAGAGACCGAUAGCGAACAAGUACAGUGAUGGAAAGAUGAAAAGAACUUUGAAAAGAGAGUGAAAAAGUACGUGAAAUUGUUGAAAGGGAAGGGCAUUUGAUCAGACAUGGUGUUUUUUGCAUGCACUCGCCUCUCGUGGGCUUGGGCCUCUCAAAAAUUUCACUGGGCCAACAUCAAUUCUGGCAGCAGGAUAAAUCAUUAAGAAUGUAGCUACUUCGGUAGUGUUAUAGCUUUUUGGAAUACUGUUAGCCGGGAUUGAGGACUGCGCUU
rnacentral:rRNA from 1 species